rnacentral:lncRNA from 1 species
GUCUCUGAUAAUGAGAAAUGAAGAAGCUAGUAAGCAGCUGGAGAGUUCAAGGCAGCUUGCCUCGAGAUUUCAUGAACAGUUUAUCGUAAGAGAAGAUCUGAUGGGUCUAGCUAUUGGUACUCAUGGUGCUAAUAUUCAGCAAGCUAGAAAAGUACCUGGGGUCACUGCUAUUGAUCUAGAUGAAGAUACCUGCACAUUUCAUAUUUAUGGAGAGGAUCAGGAUGCAGUGAAAAAAGCUAGAAGCUUUCUCGAAUUUGCUGAAGAUGUAAUACAAGUUCCAAGGAACUUAGUAGGGUUGAAGAUCUGAACAUAGGUUACUUAAAUCUAAAAAGUUCCAAAGCUAGAAGAAACUUCAGAUGUCUCUGGGACUUUCUGCAAAGUCAAUAGUAAUUCUUCAUUUUGACUUGAGUAGUGUUUUAUCACCAUCACCAUCGCAAAGUAAUAGGAAAAAAUGGAAAGCUGAUUCAGGAGAUUGUGGACAAGUCAGGAGUUGUGAGGGUGAGGAUUGAGGCUGAAAAUGAGAAAAAUGUUCCACAAGAAGAGGAAAUUAUGCCACCAAAUUCCCUUCCUU